rnacentral:rRNA from 1 species
UGCAGUCGAGCGGUACACAGAGAGCUUGCUCUCGGGUGACGAGCGGCGGACGGGUGAGUAAUGUCUGGGAAACUGCCUGAUGGAGGGGGAUAACUACUGGAAACGGUAGCUAAUACCGCAUAAUGUCGCAAGACCAAAGUGGGGGACCUUCGGGCCUCAUGCCAUCAGAUGUGCCCAGAUGGGAUUAGCUAGUAGGUGGGGUAACGGCUCACCUAGGCGACGAUCCCUAGCUGGUCUGAGAGGAUGACCAGCCACACUGGAACUGAGACACGGUCCAGACUCCUACGGGAGGCAGCAGUGGGGAAUAUUGCACAAUGGGCGCAAGCCUGAUGCACCCAUGCCGCGUGUGUGAAGAAGGCCUUCGGGUUGUAAAGCACUUUCAGCGGGGAGGAAGGCGGUGAGGUUAAUAACCUUGUCGAUUGACGUUACCCGCAGAAAAAGCACCGGCUAACUCCGUGCCAGCAGCCGCGGUAAUACGGAGGGUGCAAGCGUUAAUCGGAAUUACUGGGCGUAAAGCGCACGCACGCGGUCUGUCAAGUCGGAUGUGAAAUCCCCGGGCUCAACCUGGGAACUGCAUUCGAAACUGGCAGGCUAGAGUCUUGUAGAGGGGGGUAGAAUUCCAGGUGUAGCGGUGAAAUGCGUAUAGAUCUGGAGGAAUACCGGUGGCGAAGGCGGCCCCCUGUACAAAGACUGACACUCACGUGCGAAAGCGUGUGGAGCAAACAGGAUUAGAUAC